rnacentral:rRNA from 1 species
UACAGAGGGGGCGAGCGUAGUUCGGAAUUACUGGGCGUAAAGGGCGCGUAGGCGGCCAACUAAGUCAGACGUGAAAUCCCUCGGCUCAACCGGGGAACUGCGUCUGAUACUGGAUGGCUUGAAUUCGGGAGAGGGAUGCGGAAUUCCAGGUGUAGCGGUGAAAUGCGUAGAUAUCUGGAGGAACACCGGUGGCGAAGGCGGCAUCCUGGACCGAGAUUGACGCUGAUGCGCGAAAGCCAGGGGAGCAAACGGG